CUCCCUCGCUCCUUCUCUCGUUCCCUCCUUCCACCUCUAGCCCCCUCCCAGAUAGAGAGCUUUUGUUCUGCAUUUAAUGUUUUCAUUAGGAAACUGGGCGCAACCCAGUGAGAAGGGGAGAGGGAAAGGGUGAAUGUGGGGCACAGACUGACAGAGGAGAGUGAGCGAGAGCGAGGGGGGAAAAGAGCUUGUUUCAGACUAGUUAUAAAUCAGGAAUUCUGUGAGCCCUGAAAACAUUCUGGACUCCAGGCUUCCUGUCCACCAUGACCCGCCCCUUCACCUCCACCCUCGGGCUCCUUAUGCUCCUCAUUGGCUUUGCAGUGGCAGGACCUGCUGAGUCUAACCCCCUGCCUAGGACUGUCCGGGCAAGUGCCUGUCAAGAACAUGGAUCUCUCCAUAACAGACUGGAUGUAGUCGAGAAGCAUGUGGAAGAAACCGUCAACAAAUUGGAGACAGAGCUGGCUCUUCUGCUGGAUGCCAUUGAAUCCCCUGAGUGGAGCCCCCUGCUGGACACCAGAGGCAAACCUGAGGUGGACAUCCUGGAUGGUCAGGGAGAGAAAGGUGGCUCCUGAGCCAACCAUAAACAGGAAAAAGAAUAAGAAAUUCUGUUGGUGUUUGUGUAUAAAGUUACUGACUGUGUAAGUCAGUAACUUUACUUUAGUUCCAAACCUGUAGUGUUGUAUUGUACGCUACAUUGGACCUAGCAUGUCCUGUAUACAUCCUGUACUACAAAAGAAAGCCCCUUGCUAGAGAGCACACAGGCUUAUGUACAAGGUGGUACAGUUGAUAGAUCUCGACACUAAUUCUUAAAUACACUCGUCUAAUCCUCCAACACUCUUCUCCUUUUGCCUGUCUUAGCCUCUAAACCAUUUUCUCACCAGGGGUGACACACAUCUUAAGGUCAAGUUUACUGUACCAUCUUCAAAACAGUGUGUUGUUAUCAAGUUUCAAAUUAACCUAUAUCUGCUGGUGUCUCACUGUGGCCCUCCUGUGGCAGUCUGCUACACAAAACAGAACAUCAUAAUAAAAAAGUCAGUCUAUUCUA